AUUAAAUAGAGUUUGAUCCUGGCUCAGAAUAAAUGCUAUUGGUAUGCUUAACACAUGCAAGUUGAAUGUUUAAUUUUUAAACAUAGCGAACGGGUGAGUAACGCGUGAAUUAUCUACCUUUUAAUUCAGGAUAAUUAUUUUAUAUAAAAAUACUGAAUAAUUUUAAUAAAGUUUUAAUAACGUUAAAAGAUGAGUUUGCGUAAGAUUAGGUAGUUGGUAGUUUAAAAGACUACCAAGCCGACUAUCUUUAGCUGGUUUGAAAGAAUGAUCAGCCACAUUGGGACUGAGACACGGCCCAAACUUUUUAAAAGGCAGCAGUGGGGAAUUUUGGACAAUGAGCGAAAGCUUGAUCCAGCAAUACCAAGUGAGUGAAGAAGGCUAAUUAGGUUGUAAAGCUCUUUCAUUAAGGAGGAAAAUGACAGUACUUAAAAAAGAAGUUCCGGCUAAUACCCGUGCCAGCAGCCGCGGUAAUACGGGAGGAGCGAGCAUUAUUCGGAAUGAUUAGGCGUAAAGGGUUUGUAGGUGGUUUUUUAAGUUGAAAAAAACAAAUUAAAGCUCAACUUUAUAAAUUUUUUCAAAACUGAAAAACUUGAGUAUAAAUAGAGGAUAAUGGAAUUUCUAUUGGAGGGAUAAAAUACGUUGAUAAUAGAAGGAAGAUCAAAAGC
rnacentral:ncRNA from 1 species